UACGAAGGGGGCUAGCGUUGCUCGGAAUGACUGGGCGUAAAGGGCGCGUAGGCGGAUGGCACAGUCCGAUGUGAAAUUCCCGGGCUUAACCUGGGGGCUGCAUUUGAUACGUGUUGUCUUGAGUUCGGAAGAGGGUCGUGGAAUUCCCAGUGUAGAGGUGAAAUUCGUAGAUAUUGGGAAGAACACCGGUGGCGAAGGCGGCGACCUGGUCCGACACUGACGCUGAGGCGCGAAAGCGUGGGGAGCAAACAGG
rnacentral:rRNA from 1 species